UGAGUUUUACUAAUUAGCUCACCUGCCGCAGCUCGCCUGCCAGGUGGUUUUCUUAAUUAGUUAAUUGGUUGCAUCUGGUGCGUUUCACUUAAAAGGGAACCGGACAGUACUGUUGUGACUUAGUUAACAUCUCUUCCAGUUUCACAGGUUAAAGACUUUUUGAAGUAAAGAGGAGCAUCUCAUCUGAACCUGAUGUCUAUCAUGGAUAUUUAACUGCAGUUCUGUGAGUAUCCCAACUUAACCAUGAAGCAUAACUGCAAACUGUAAGUCAUUAAUUUCUCAUUACUCUUGGGCACAUGGAUGUAUUUUGGCUUCCUGGUGAGUUAACCUGUUACCUGAAGGUUGAUCUGAGUAGAAAGGAUGUUUUAUUGGUUCAUGGGUUACUUAGGUGUUUGGUUUAUGUUGGUUUUAAUGAUUUGUUAAAAUGGUUACAGGCUCCAAGUUAUUGUUGUAAGCUGGAGUAAUGGGUUGGGUUCUGAUAUCUUCAGUCUUCUUUCAUUCUACUCUCCUGAGCUCUGCGUCUUCAUUACAUGAGUGUUGCUUUACUGAUAAGGUUGUGGUCUGAGUGAGCAGAGGUGCAUACUGGGAUACAGAGCUGUCUGAAGCCUACAGGUCUGUAGACACGCCCCCUCAGGGGAAACCCAGUGUUUGAGAAACUGUGGUGACGUCAGUUACAUGGACUGGAAUGUUCUUAAAGAUGGAGACAGGGAUUCAGAAAGAGAAACACCAGGGGGAGAUGAGGGGGCUCCUCAUCUCAACGACCAAAACACAACUUCAGUCUAAUACGGAGAACCAUGGAACACAUUCAACAGUCCCCUCCAGGCAUCGUGACUCCUCAGGAACAGUUUAAUUUCCAAGAAGGUCUUAUUUGGGGCCAUCCCCAUAUGGAUCCUGCUCCUCAAGAGCCACCCCCCUCCACUGGGUGGUCUUCUGAACAGAUGACCUCCUUCCUGUCCUCAGGCUGACUAAAGCUGCAACGUUUACAUCUGUGAAGGCCCCUCUUUCAGGAAACCACAGGACUACAAAGACAUGACUUCAGAGAUGUUGAAUCAACCUGGGACAAAUUUUUGGAGACGCCAAGCAUAAUCCAUCACCAAUGUGGGACGCCACUGAAGAAUGUUGUACAUAAUUUACGUCUCUUGAGACAUUGGUUGUUCUGUUCUGGGUGCCCUGGCAGGAGAGCUGGGGGUGGAUGAUGGAAUGUUAUUUGGCAUGAGGUUUUUACCCUGCAUGAUUGUUUGGCCUUUUAUGGCUCAGUGGUGUGUGUUUGGGUUUGACAUGAGAUGGAAGAUUUUUGAGCAUCUCUAGGGUUCUACUGUGUGUGUCUCCCACUCACACCUGGCAUGGGGUUCUACGUGCCUGUCCUGGGUUCUAUGUGUGUGUGUGUCUGGCUUGCUUUGACAGUGAUAAUGUUCAUACGGGGGUCUGUGUGAUUGGCUUGGGAUAUUGGAAUGGUUAACUAAAUCAUACCUGAUGGACGGCCACACGUUUACUUAAGGGCCUCCAGUAGACAUGAAGAGCCCUGAGCGACGCUCCGGAGCGAUAUCCAACACACUGGGCAGGAAGGAGAGCAUCCAACUCAAGUGUAAAAGGAUGCAAGCGGCGUGUUCAGAUCACAAAGAAAAAUAUGUUUUCAGGAAGAGGUUCUGUGCGAGAGGUUCACGACCGACGCAGAGUUGUCAAACUAGGACUACACCAAUCAGGAUCAAUGGAGGAUGGACACGAAAAGGAAUUCCACAAGGAGAGUCUGACGUUGGAAAGGGACCUAAAUGGAUAUUCAAGAUGACCUUCAGACCUGUAAUGAGACGGCUCUUCCCACCUGGCUGGAUUGAUGAAGAGCCCUGUGGAUCUUGUCUUGCUCUCAGUUGCACGUCUUCUCAGGCUGAACUGUAUUUGUUUCGGACAGGACUAGUUGAACGAUUGGUUCCCUUAAAUCAGAACCAAUCCGGGAACUCCAGCUAGUGCGCUCUUCGAGCUGAAGUUGUGCUCUUCAGCUGAGGAGGUAAGGAAGCCUUCACUGGGGCUUCAAGGUGUAACGAGGACUGUUUCAAAGUGUUCCAUGGUACUCUGAUGAAGACCGUUGUUGUGUUCCACUGGCUGAGAGGAAGAACCCACACAUCUUCCUCUUGGCCUUUCUCCUCUGAGAAUCCUGGCGCCAUCUUGAAGGAUAUUCCAGCUCAUGUAACUGAUGUCACAACAGAUUCUCAAACACUUGGUUUCUCCUGAGGGGCACGUCUAUGGAACUGAAGACUUCAGACAGCACUGUAUCCCAGCAUGCAUCUCUGCUCACUCAGACCACACCCCCAUGAGUAGGAUGCAACACUCUAGUGAUGGAGAUGUAGAGUUUUAUAAGUAACGAGGGAGCAGACUAAGGUGAUUAGAACGCAAUGGAAUGUCAAGUCUGUAAAUCUUUAAACCAUGAAGAUGGUUGGAUAGUUCAGGAAUAUGGCUUAUUUUUAUUAUGGGCAGUCCUUUCACUCAGAUGCCCACUUCUCACUGGAGCUGUACAUGUGUUGGCUGGCUGGCAUGAUUUGCUGUUGGUGAUGAGGCGGUCAGGGUGACGUUGCAGUGCUAUGGUCGGCUCUGUGAGGUCAACGUUUAGAUUUGCUCUGUAUGGUUUGUACCCUGAAUAAUCUAGAUAAUUGUAAAAUGAAGACAGUUUUGUAUUGAAUGAUUCCAUGAUUUUAGGUUUAAAGUUGUUGUGGGACGUACAUGGUAGUUUGGUUCUUCGUAUGGGUUUGAGUGAUAUAACUUGUACACACUGGGUGCAUAAUAAUGUAAAGGUACACUGAAUAGUAUUAAUGACCAACAGCAACAAACAGAUCUCCUCAAGGUAAGUCUGUUGGCUGUAUUUUAAUGAAGACCAUCGACUUCAGGAUCUUCCUCCGUUCAGCUCAAGGUGAGGCGCUGGUUAUGUUUUUUCUUUGGUUGGUUCCGGCUGGAAUGUUCGGAUUCCAGUCGGACGGUUUGUGCUUCCCGCCGUGGAAGCUUCUGAGUGCGAUCACUUGAUUUACGGUAGUCCCAAUGGUUAGCAUAGAAUGUUGUAGUCUUGACAACAAUAAGAAACCACCUGGCAGUUAGUUGAGGGAAUCUGGCGGAACGUUCUGGAUUGUAUUUGCGUAACCUCGAGCCGUUGCCAACGGAAACUAUUUUUCAGUCGGUUUCCAUUGGGAAUUGUUGCCCCUAUUUUAAACAACUAAAGUUUGAUAUUAAAUACAUACUGACACGUACGUCGUACAAUAUGUUGAUAAUUUCCGAUGGUUGCGCCGUACUCUUAACCACGAUGACGUUGCGGGACUCUCACUGCGUACAAAACGGCGUUCUACUUGCGGGCCUAUUUUUGACAUCAAGGAAGGCUUAAAAUCAUUUCAAGAUGGAAGAUAAUUUGACAUUUCUUCAACGGAACCCAGCACCUGAAUAUGGCGGAGUAUAUUUGAUUUAAUAUCGAUACUGCUUAGUGUUCUUUGUUAUUUCAGCUUUUGUACGUUCUAAAUAUCUGCUGUCAUUCAUUGCCACAGAAGUUAAACCCUACCCAAUAGAAUGACGUUAAACAACGACUUUGGUGCAGAGUUAACAACUGGAUAAUAUAAAAGCUAAAAUAAUGCCCACAUGUUACAGUAGAAGAUACUCUAGAACUGUACAAGGUUAAAAAGGUAUCAUGUAGUUUGUCCCAAGGUGUCUGCCUCCUCACCUAGAGCAAGACCUCCUCCUCCUCACCCAGAGCCAGACCUCCACCUCCUCACCCAGAGCCAGACCUCCACCUCCUCACCCAGAGCCAGACCUCCACCUCCUGUCAGAAGUCCUCCAGAACAGCUGAAAGGCGAGGCUGAGAGGCUGGGGUCCGGAGGCUUGUGGUGCCAGGAUGGACCGGAGACUGAGGCUGGAGACCAGGGGCCUGCAGCACCGGACCAGAGGGUAACCAUCACCAAGCUCAUCUGAAACACUAAAAUCCACGGUAGUUUAGGUCUAGUUUUGAUCAUCUUAUGACUUUAAAUCUGUGCCAAGCUGUGAUUUUAGUUAAUUCAUACGGGGGUUAUGCAAGAGUCAUACGAGCCAUUAAUGUUACUAGUGCUGCUACGACCGUAGUGGAUGAAUUGCUGAACGCGACAAUCUGCAGACGUUGUCUAAUUUAAGUGUUAAAAUUUGUCUUCCAUUUUACAAGUGAACCUCAG